rnacentral:rRNA from 1 species
GAGUGGCGAACGGGUGAGUAACACGUGGGUAACCUGCCCAUCAGAAGGGGAUAACACUUGGAAACAGGUGCUAAUACCGUAUAACACUAUUUUCCGCAUGGAAGAAAGUUGAAAGGCGCUUUUGCGUCACUGAUGGAUGGACCCGCGGUGCAUUAGCUAGUUGGUGAGGUAACGGCUCACCAAGGCCACGAUGCAUAGCCGACCUGAGAGGGUGAUCGGCCACACUGGGACUGAGACACGGCCCAGACUCCUACGGGAGGCAGCAGUAGGGAAUCUUCGGCAAUGGACGAAAGUCUGACCGAGCAACGCCGCGUGAGUGAAGAAGGUUUUCGGAUCGUAAAACUCUGUUGUUAGAGAAGAACAAGGAUGGGAGUAAAAUGUUCAUCCCUUGACGGUAUCUAACCAGAAAGCCACGGCUAACUACGUGCCAGCAGCCGCGGUAAUACGUAGGUGGCAAGCGUUGUCCGGAUUUAUUGGGCGUAAAGCGAGCGCAGGCGGUUUCUUAAGUCUGAUGUGAAAGCCCCCGGCUCAACCGGGGAGGGUCAUUGGAGACUGGGAGACUUGAGUGCAGAAGAGGAGAGUGGAAUUCCAUGUGUAGCGGUGAAAUGCGUAGAUAUAUGGAGGAACACCAGUGGCGAAGGCGGCUCUCUGGUCUGUAACUGACGCUGAGGCUCGAAAGCGUGGGGAGCGAACAGGAUUAGAUACCCUGGUAGUCCACGCCGUAAACGAUGAGUGCUAAGUGUUGGAGGGUUUCCGCCCUUCAGU